rnacentral:rRNA from 1 species
CCUACGGGGGGCAGCAGUGGGGAAUCUUGCACAAUGGGGGAAACCCUGAUGCAGCGACGCCGCGUGAGUGAAGAAGUAAUUCGUUACGUAAAGCUCUAUCAGCAGGGAAGAAACACUGACCUUACGGUCAGCAGACGGUACCUGAGUAAGAAGCCCCGGCUAACUACGUGCCAGCAGCCGCGGUAAUACGUAGGGGGCAAGCGUUAUCCGGAUUUACUGGGUGUAAAGGGAGCGUAGACGGUGCGCCAAGUCUGGAGGGAAAUGCCGCAGCUUAACUGCUGAACUGCUUUGGAAACUGGCGAACUAGAGUGCGGGAGGGGUAAGCUGAAUUCCUAGUGUAGCGGUGAAAUGCGUAGAUAUUAGGAGGAACACCGGUGGCGAAGGCGGCUUACUGGACCGUAACUGACGUUGAGGCUCGAAAGCGUGGGGAGCAAACAGGAUUAGAUACCCCUGUAGUC